CCAGACUCCUACGGGAGGCAGCAGUGGGGAAUAUUGCACAAUGGGGGAAACCCUGAUGCAGCAACGCCGCGUGAGUGAAGAAGUAUUUCGGUAUGUAAAGCUCUAUCAGCAGGGAAGAAAAUGACAGUACCUGACUAAGAAGCCCCGGCUAACUACGUGCCAGCAGCCGCGGUAAUACGUAGGGGGCAAGCGUUAUCCGGAUUUACUGGGUGUAAAGGGAGCGUAGACGGCUGCGCAAGUCAGAAGUGAAAGCCCGGGGCUCAACCGCGGGACUGCUUUUGAAACUGUGUAGCUAGAGUGCAGGAGAGGUAAGUGGAAUUCCUAGUGUAGCGGUGAAAUGCGUAGAUAUUAGGAGGAACACCAGUGGCGAAGGCGGCCUGCUGGACUGCAACUGACGUUGAGGCUCGAAGGCGUGGGGAGCAAACAGGAUUAGAUACCCCAGUA
rnacentral:rRNA from 1 species